rnacentral:rRNA from 1 species
AGUGAAUGCUGGCGGUAGGCCUAACACAUGCAAGUCGAACGGCAGCACAGUAAGAGCUUGCUCUUACGGGUGGCGAGUGGCGGACGGGUGAGGAAUACAUCGGAAUCUACUUUUUCGUGGGGGAUAACGUAGGGAAACUUACGCUAAUACCGCAUACGACCUACGGGUGAAAGCAGGGGAUCUUCGGACCUUGCGCGAUUGAAUGAGCCGAUGUCGGAUUAGCUAGUUGGCGGGGUAAAGGCCCACCAAGGCGACGAUCCGUAGCUGGUCUGAGAGGAUGAUCAGCCACACUGGAACUGAGACAAGGUCCAGACUCCUACGGGAGGCAGCAGUGGGGAAUAUUGGACAAUGGGCGCAAGCCUGAUCCAGCCAUACCGCGUGGGUGAAGAAGGCCUUCGGGUUGUAAAGCCCUUUUGUUGGGAAAGAAAAGCAGCAGGUUAAUACCCCGCUGUUCUGACGGUACCCAAAGAAUAAGCACCGGCUAACUUCGUG